AUAUAAACUUCAGCAGUGCCAUAAGGGU
rnacentral:sRNA from 1 species